GGAGAAGUACUCAAGAGGCUGAAGAGGCUCCCCUGCUAAGGGAGUAGGUCCUUUAUUAGGGCGCGAGGGUUCAAAUCCCUCCUUCUCCGCCA
rnacentral:tRNA from 1 species